rnacentral:lncRNA from 1 species
UGAGGAUGUUCCUUCAGUGUGAAGCAAGCCUAGAGAAGGCGGAAGGUCGGUUCGACCUUGAGGAGAAGGUAGUGGGCAAAGAAACCUAACAUCUGAUGCCAUGAGUUCGGCAUAAUACUACAGAAACUUAUCCUAUAUAAGUUAAGAAAAUCUAUGAUGAGGAAGUCAAAGGGUAGCCAAAGAUCGACCUUCAAAGAUUCCUCAUAAAGGCCUACUCAACCUUGACAAGGAAGAGCUAUCCAUACUCCAGGAACGGCGACCUCCAACCUGAAC